CCUACGGGAGGCAGCAGUGGGGAAUUUUGGACAAUGGGCGCAAGCCUGAUCCAGCAAUGCCGCGUGAGUGAAGAAGGCCUUCGGGUUGUAAAGCUCUUUUGUCAGGGAAGAAACGGCUCCAGCUAAUAUCUGGGGCUAAUGACGGUACCUGAAGAAUAAGCACCGGCUAACUACGUGCCAGCAGCCGCGGUAAUACGUAGGGUGCAAGCGUUAAUCGGAAUUACUGGGCGUAAAGCGUGCGCAGGCGGUUUUGUAAGUCUGUCGUGAAAGCCCCGGGCUCAACUUGGGAAUUGCGAUGGAGACUGCAAGGCUUGAAUCUGGCAGAGGGGGGUAGAAUUCCACGUGUAGCAGUGAAAUGCGUAGAGAUGUGGAGGAACACCGAUGGCGAAGGCAGCCCCCUGGGUCAAGAUUGACGCUCAUGCACGAAAGCGUGGGGAGCAAACAGGAUUAGAUACCCUGGUAGUCCACGCCCUAAACGAUGUCUACUAGUUGUCGGGUUUUAAUUAACUUGGUAACGCAGCUAACGCGUGAAGUAGACCGCCUGGGGAGUACGGUCGCAAGAUUAAAACUCAAAGGAAUUGACGG
rnacentral:rRNA from 1 species